CGGAGGAUCCAAGCGUUAUCCGGAAUCAUUGGGUUUAAAGGGUCCGUAGGCGGUUUGGUAAGUCAGUGGUGAAAGCCCUUCGCUCAACGGAGGAACGGCCAUUGAUACUGCCAGACUUGAAUUACUGGGAAGUAACUAGAAUAUGUAGUGUAGCGGUGAAAUGCUUAGAUAUUAUAUGGAAUACCAAUUGCGAAGGCAGGUUACUACCGGUGGAUUGACGCUGAUGGACGAAAGCGUGGGGAGCGAACAGGAUUAGAUACCCUGGUAGUCCACGCCGUAAACGAUGGAUACUAGCUGUUGGGCGCAAGUUCAGUGGCUAAGCGAAAGUGAUAAGUAUCCCACCUGGGGAGUACGUUCGCAAGAAUG
rnacentral:rRNA from 1 species